UUACCAGCUUGACAUCUAUGAAAGCUUCGAACAGGUGCUGCAUGGCCGUCGUCAGCUCGUGUCGUGAGAUGUUGGGUUAAGUCCCGCAACGAGCGCAACCCUGUGUUAGUUGCCAGCGUACGGGACUCUAGCAGACUGCCCAGAUCAAUGGGAGGAAGGUGGGGACGACGUCAGGUCAGUAUGGCCCUUACGCUGGGCUGCACACGUACUACAAUGCAGCACAUGAGCCACCGCGAGGGGAGGAAUCUCAACUGGCCCAGUUCGGAUUGGAGGCUGCAACUCGCCACCAUGAAGCCGGAAUCGCUAGUAAUGACGAUCAGCACGCGUCGUGAAUACGUCCCGGGUCUUGUACACACCGCCCGUCACAUCAUGGAAGCCGGCGACCGAA
rnacentral:rRNA from 1 species